rnacentral:rRNA from 1 species
AUACAGAGGGUGCGAGCGUUAGUCGGAAUUACUGGGCGUAAAGCGCGCGUAGGCGGCUUGGUCAGUCGGAUGUGAAAGCCCCGGGCUCAACCUGGGAAUGGCAUUCGAUACUGCCAGGCUAGAGUAUGGGAGAGGGAAGUGGAAUUUCCGGUGUAGCGGUGAAAUGCGUAGAUAUCGGAAGGAACACCAGUGGCGAAGGCGACUUCCUGGCCCAAUACUGACGCUGAGGUGCGAAAGCGUGGGGAGCGAACAGGAUUAGAAACCCUAGUAGUCC